rnacentral:rRNA from 1 species
UACGGAGGGGGCUAGCGUUGUUCGGAAUUACUGGGCGUAAAGCGCGCGUAGGCGGUCCUGCAAGUCGGGGGUGAAAGCCCGAGGCUCAACCUCGAAACUGCCUUCGAUACUGCGGGUCUCGAGUCCGGGAGAGGUGAGUGGAAUUCCUAGUGUAGAGGUGAAAUUCGUAGAUAUUAGGAAGAACACCAGUGGCGAAGGCGGCUCACUGGCCCGGUACUGACGCUGAGGUGCGAAAGCGUGGGGAGCAAACAGG